GGCGGACGGGUGAGUAACGCGUGAGAAUCUGCCUUCAGGACGGAGACAACAGUUGGAAACGACUGCUAAGCCCCGAUGAACCGAAAGGGAAAAUAUUUAUAGCCUGAAGAUGAGCUCGCGUCCGAUUAGCUAGUUGGGGGGGUGAAGGCCCACCAAGGCGACGAUCGGUAGCUGGUCUGAGAGGACGAUCAGCCACACUGGGACUGAGACACGGCCCAGACUUCUACGGGAGGCAGCAGUGGGGAAUUUUCCGCAAUGGGCGAAAGCCUGACGGAGCAAGACCGCGUGGGGGAAGAAGGCUCUUGGGUUGUAAACCCCUUUUCUCUGGGAAGAAAGUUGUGAAAGCAACCUGACGGUACCAGAGGAAUCAGCAUCGGCUAACUCCGUGCCAGCAGCCGCGGUAAGACGGAGGAUGCAAGCGUUA
rnacentral:rRNA from 1 species